rnacentral:lncRNA from 1 species
GGGAGUUGGUCAGUGGCUGGCUGAGUGUUAGAGAGCAGAUGUACAUUCCAGACUUGUGAAUGGGAUUGCCUACAGCAGGCGUGGGAGGAAGUUAGGCAUCCUUCUUGUCUUCCACAGGCAGUGGCUCUGGAAUAUUUUCCUGCAUGACAAUGCUGCUUCAGCAGAAGAGGUUCUGUCUCACAACUGCUGCUGCUUGACUGAUGAAUGGAGGGACACGGUAGAAAC